rnacentral:rRNA from 1 species
AUAGCGUAUAUUAAAGUUGUUGCAGUUAAAAAGCUCGUAGUUGAACCUUGGGCCUGGCUGGCAGGUCCGCCUCACCGCGUGUACUUGUCCGGCCGGGCCUUCCUUCUGGAGAACCUCAUGCCCUUCACUGGGCGUGUUGGGGACCAGAACUUUUACUUUGAAAAAAUUAGAGUGUUCAAAGCAGGCCUUUGCUCGAAUACGUUAGCAUGGAAUAAUAAAAUAGGACGUGCGGUCCUAUUUUGUUGGUUUCUAGGACCGCCGUAAUGAUUAAUAGGGACAGUCGGGGGCAUCAGUAUUCAAUUGUCAGAGGUGAAAUUCUUGGAUUUAUUGAAGACUAACUACUG